GACGAACCGUGCGAACGUUGUUCGGAAUCACUGGGCUUAAAGGGCUCGUAGGUGGCCAACUAAGUCAGACGUGAAAUCCCUCAGCUUAACUGGGGAACUGCGUCUGAUACUGGAUGGCUUGAGUUUGGGAGAGGGAUGCGGAAUUCCAGGUGUAGCGGUGAAAUGCGUAGAUAUCUGGAGGAACACCGGUGGCGAAGGCGGCAUCCUGGACCAAUACUGACACUGAGGAGCGAAAGCCAGGGGAGCAAACGGG
rnacentral:rRNA from 1 species